GUUAUACUCCCUCCGUUCCAAAAUAGAUGACUCAACUUUGUACUAAAGUUAGUACAAACUUUGUACUAAAGUUAGUACAAAGUUGGGUCAUCUAUUUUGGAACGGAGGGAGUAGCUU
rfam:Triticum aestivum genome assembly, contig: Triticum_aestivum_CS42_TGACv1_scaffold_542649_6DS